GAAGGCCCCAAGUGACCAGGGAACACAAAUCUCCUCUGUGUGCCCAUCCUCAAGCCCAUGCAGCAUCCACCCUGCCCAGGAGGGGCUCGGCCCCAACCCAGGACCCAGAACUUCUGAUGGUCACUGAUGAUGGUCACAGCGGGGCAGUGGAGCAGGGCCUGGAGAGCAGGGAGCAUAGGAAUGCAAUGAUCAAGAUGAUCUGGAAUGAGGAGGGAGCAGAAGGCAAGGCUCGGAGUGAGACCAGGGUCAGGGCUCCGUGCAGACUUCCACGACUGGCUUUGUAUCAGAAUCACUUUGCUUCUCAGCCAUGGCCCAUGGGUCACACAGCCCUCAAUGGCCAUGCCGAUGCUGGUCACAGCAUUCCCUAGUCCUGCAGACUCGGACACUAAAACAAUCAAUUCCCCUGAGCAAUAAAAUUACGGACGGUGAACAUGUUU